GCAUCGGUUUAGCUCGACGGUUUCAUCUUACCCUAAAGUUUCCGAUCUUCGGACCGCGGGCCGUGGGUUCCGACCGUGGGCGCUGUCCGAUGUUUUU
rnacentral:vault_RNA from 1 species